UACAGAGGUCUCAAGCGUUGUUCGGAAUCACUGGGCGUAAAGGGUGCGUAGGCGGCGGAGUAAGUCGGGUGUGAAAUUUGAAGGCUCAACCUUCAACUAGCACCUGAUACUGCUUUGCUUGAGGUCUGAAGAGGAGCUUGGAAUUCUCGGUGUAGCAGUGAAAUGCGUAGAUUUCGAGAAGAACGCUCGCAGCGAAAAGCGAAAGCUCUGGUCAGAUUCUGACGCUGAGGCAACGAAGGCUAGGGGGAGCAAACGGG
rnacentral:rRNA from 1 species